UCCGGUUUGUCACCGGCAGUCUCAUUAGAGUGCCCAACUUAAUGUAGCAACUAAUGACAAGGGUUGCGCUCGUUGCGGGACUUAACCCAACACCUCACGGCACGAGCUGACGACAGCCAUGCAGCACCUGUGCAGGAUCUCCGAAGAGGGGCUCUCGUUUCUGAGAGCUUGCUCCUGCAUGUCAAGCCUAGGUAAGGUUCUUCGCGUUGCGUCGAAUUAAACCACAUGCUCCACCGCUUGUGCGGGCCCCCGUCAAUUCCUUUGAGUUUCAACCUUGCGGUCGUACUCCCCAGGCGGGGAUGACGUGGGGAAUGUCGAUA
rnacentral:misc_RNA from 1 species